rnacentral:rRNA from 1 species
UCCAGACUCCUACGGGAGGCAGCAGUGGGGAAUAUUGCACAAUGGGGGAAACCCUGAUGCAGCGACGCCGCGUGAGUGAAGAAGUAUUUCGGUACGUAAAGCUCUAUCAGCAGGGAAGAAAGAAAGUCCUUUGGACUUUGGACGGUACCUGACCAAGAAGCCCCGGCUAACUACGUGCCAGCAGCCGCGGUAAUACGUAGGGGGCAAGCGUUAUCCGGAUUUACUGGGUGUAAAGGGAGCGUAGACGGUGAUGCAAGUCUGGAGUGAAAGGCGGGGGCCCAACCCCCGGACUGCUCUGGAAACUGUGUAACUUGAGUGCAGGAGAGGUAAGCGGAAUUCCUAGUGUAGCGGUGAAAUGCGUAGAUAUUAGGAGGAACACCAGUGGCGAAGGCGGCUUACUGGACUGUAACUGACGUUGAGGCUCGAAAGCGUGGGGAGCAAACAGGAUUAGAUACCCCUGUAGA